rnacentral:lncRNA from 10 species
CAGCCAAGCAGAUGGGGCUGUACCUGUGAGAGUGUGUCACCCGUGGGUGGAGUGUGCAGUGAUCAGAUGUUGGGUUUGGAAGCUCUUUUCCUCUUGGUAUUGAAUAGAGUCCCACUGUCUGGAUGCACCCCGCUGACCCACCCACUCACCGACUGCAGGGCGUCCCGGUUGCUGCCAGGUGAAAUAGGGGCGGGGACAAUCCAGGGACAUCUUUCCCAGCAUGCAUGAACCAGAAAUAACACCAGCGUGUCUGAGAAGAAACGGUGAAGAAAUCCACCCUGGC